GGGUAAUAUAACAAACCUAUAUUUUUUGGCGGCCUAUAUUUUCCUCAGAGAAACAUGUUUUUUUAUCGAAAUUACUCGCUUAUUUUUACUUUUUCUUUAUUCCUUUAUACCUCCGUCUAAAAGUUAAACUUAAAUUUUUCACUAAAAAACUUUUACUAAGUCAGGUCAAGGUGAAGAUUAUGAAAAAGUUUAAAUGUGUUAUUCAUUAAUUUAAUUAAGUAUAAUUUCUUCAAAAAGAAAGUUCUUCAAGGAUUUGAGAGUAAUUUUUUAAUAAAAAUUUAAAAUAAAAUUAAUCCUAGGUGU
rnacentral:rRNA from 1 species